UCCGUUAUCGCUGACCGUUACCUGGGUGGGUGCCACACCCCAGGCCUGCGGUGAGGGAGAGAGGGGGCCCCUCAGGGAAGCUCGAAGGUGCUGGACAGUCGCCCCAAGUCACAACGCAGUGUGACCAGAGUUGUGAUGGCGGCGGUGAGAGCCCCGGCGCCUCUCCGGGAGGGUCGAGGAGGGACCCCCGAAGGACCCCGCUUGGCGCAGCAGUUCGGAGGAGGAAAGGAGGCUGGGGCGCGACGGCUUUGAAGAUGCGAUGACGAAAAGCCCCCAUCUGAAGGCGGCUUGCGGGCCACGCGGCAAAGCUGUCGGGGAGGGGCAGGGUGAAAGAGCUCGGGGAAAAUGAAGGAGGCUUGACAGUUUUGAGUAGCUGGAGAGGAAGCCGACUCAGGGACCAAGACGUAAACCCCAGGGCAGGCCGUUUUGGUUUUCUCACUAAUUGUGUCCCAAAUGCUUGGAAAGAUGACGAUGAUACUUAACCCAGACUCCUCUGGUUUCAACUGGAUGUGGACGAUGCACGGGUGAUGGAGUUUUUUGCAAGCGACCCUCUUGCCCUUAACCUGUGUCCUGGGACAAAGCCACUGAAUUAAGCAUCUCGUCCUUUGCUCCCAAGUGAACUUUUUGGAGAAGUGUAUUCCAGCUGGGGCAAAAACCAUGGGUCUUGCUCAUUAGGGUGUCACCUAAGUCCCUGGGCUGGGAGGGUGACUGUUUGGCUUGGUAUGUCCCUAAUCCCACCUCCCUUGUUUGAUGCAUUUAUGCCUUGGAUCUCGUGAGGUCCUCUCAUCCUUUGGGGCUACAUUCUUCUGGCUCUUCCUUGGAGCCUGAAGCUUAUGGACACACAGGGCUUCUACUAACCUGGUCUACUCCGGAACUAGGGAUGCUUUGGCCUUGACUAUAUCUCCCUCAACUGUUUAAUCCGUGAAAGAAUUCCGAUUCAUUCCUAAACUCAUCUCCAUCAUCAUAUUCCUAAAGUGGAAACUCGACUUUGAGACGAUACCAACCUCCUUUGGAGCUUCCAGACAGUAGAGUUGAGGAAAGCAUGUCUACCUGCAUCCACCUAUCUGGUUACAGGAUCUCCCCAGAGAAGGAACCUGAUAGGAAAAAAAACUCCUGCUGGAAGCCACAGUAUGAGAAGUUACAAGAUGAGACAGCAAAGAAAAACUGCACCUGAACCUCAGUGAGAAGGCCCUUACCAAGUACUGUUAACAACUAACACAACAGUAAACUUGUGCCUCCCAAGUCAGAAGACAUAAACCGCACCGAGUCCCUGGGAGGCUGUCCUGAGACCUCUAACAGCGACAUCUGAGGAUUCAUUCCAAAACAGACAAGGGCAGGAAGUUGCCCCUUCCACGCAAGACCAUUGGGACCACAGUGGUGACUGCCGCAAGUGUCACCAUCCUUCAAGAUCCACCAGAUGAGACCAUCAGAACCACCCACCACGGUGCCUUCAUCUCUAUAUAUUUUUGCUCCUUUGUUCUUCCCUCUCUGCAGAGUUAAGGUUUAAAUUGUUGACCCUUCUUACCUAUUAACCAUAGUAACUCCAGGGUCUUUAUCUUUCAUACUUUUUUUUGUUUGUUUUUAUUUUACCUUAGUCACUCCUCCGUAUGAGUCCAAGGCCAGGCUGCACUUUGUUUAUGAUGUGGCUACAACACGCAAUUACACUGUCUGCUGGGUUUGUACUUACUUUUCUUUGGGUGCCAUCCAACUUCCUUUGCUAUCAAUAGCAUGGAAUUAAUCAAAUUAUUUCCUAGGAGAUAAGACUCCACCAAGAAGUGAGCUGGGGGUGAAAAAAUAGGAUAACAGGUCAAAGAGAAUUCUAAAACCCCUGUCACCUCAUGCAUGGAAGGGAAAGUUUGGGGUUCUAAACAAAACAAUGCUCAGAAGCCUUUUGUUGAAAAUUAGCUUUUCCACCCAGGUUUUCACAAAAAGAAAGCCAGCAGUGAUAGUAAAAUGAGUGACAAGGAGGUGUUUUGAGAAAAUGGGACACAGUGAAAACAGAUGGUCAGAGGCCACUGAGGGAAGAUGGGCCCCAAAGAGUACUUAGGCAAAGAAGUAGCAGAGAUCAACAUGCUUCUGGAGAGUCCACAGAGAAUAUGGAAGCCAGUGUUAUGGAGUCUGCAGAGGGUCUGGAACUUGGGUGUCUGCAGAAUCCAGACUGCAGAGAAGGUGGAAACCAGAGGUAAAGGGGCUGAGGAGUCAGUUAUAGGUCUUCCAAGGGUCAGUGAGAGGUUGAAGGCAGAGAUUGAGCUAACUCCCUCAGAGGAAUGGUGGCAGUUGUGUGGCUCUAAGGCGGCAGCAGCAUCUUCCACAGGCUCCCCAAACAGCAGAAUGUCAGCUUCCAUGGCCACCACAUCGCACAACUCACAGUGGGGGAUCUUGAUAAAAUGGUUGGCACAAACUGCCUAUAAUGGGGAGCUUGUCCAAAUGGCUGUAGAAGACGAGAGAAUUAACCUAAAGUCAGUGAGCUGGGAUGAGGGCCUGGUAGAGGGCCCUGGUAGAGGGCCUGGAAACACACUAUGUCCCCCCCACACACACACACACACACACAUACCAGACUUCACAAUGUUUUCCUCAUUCCUCACACCAAGGCUUGCUUUCCCAUUCCCUUCCCUAGAGGCUUCCGAGCCAACAUCAACCCCAGGUUGCACUGGGCCCUGCCACUGCAUAAUCAUCCUAGGAAGAGGGACACAGGAAAGAGGGAAGAGAGAGUCCUCUCCUGUUCCUUGGAAAAACUUGUCCUGUGCUUCAUCAGAUUCUUCCAGUCAUCCCCUCCAAUCUGAGCAAGAGCUUGGAUUACUUACGGUGAAGAGAAGAGCAAAGUGAUAUUUUAGGAGUCUGAGCGGAAUGAUCCUUUGUGACACACUCUUGGCAGACUAAGACUCUGGGAGCCCCCAGAUGAGUGCACAAGGUAAAGUAGUCCGUGACAGGAAUAGGAAGGCCUUUCCCAGACAUUAUCUUGUGCGAUCCUCACAACAACCCUGUGAGGUACGGAGACCAGGUGACACCUCAGAGUAGGAAACUGAAGCUUGGGGAAGUCAGAUAGCUUGUCCCCAACCAGGACCUGGGAUUUCUGCCUCCAGAACAAACAGUGGUUCUAGUGGACCUCACACGGCUCCCCCGUGGGCCAGAUCCCCAGCAGAACAGGGAAUGCUUGCUGUGAACCUCCCCUCUCAGCGCUCUGUUUUCUAACAGGGACUUGCUCUAGGAACUGCCCUCCUCAGAGAUUGUGGACCUGGGUCACCUGGUUAGGUGAGAUUAAGGCUAAACCUUGGGCAUCCCACGGUUGACGAGACCAAACCUUGCCUUUUAGUGCUACACCUUUGUUCCUCUUUUUGACUCUGCACUGAUCUUAAGAGACUAGAGUGAGUGGCUGGGGCCAAAUUUUCCUUCUCUUCUCUUGAGGUUAGCUGCACACAUUCAUUAUUCAUUAUUCAUGGAUGAUCUGGUUUUCUAUAUUAAUAGAGCCCUGGGAUCCAUCCCCGUACUUCACGAUAAAGGACACAAAUGUCCCUGAACAGCAAGCUCAGGUGUACUCCUUCACAUAAGGCUUGACCCUGAUGAUCGAACUUGGGCUCCGGCGUCUGAUUCAAGGCUUUCAAAGGUUAGGAGCAUUGUUCUUCCUAUCAGCCCUAAUGCAAAGGGGACCCUUGGCCCAGAGAUAGACCUGAAUUGGGUUCUUGACUGAUGAAUAGAGUCGAGGGACUUUCCUGAACUCUCUUAAUAAUCCAAUCUGUGGCCGGUGACUCACUGUUGUCAGGGUUCUAUCAUGGAGCCCUCUACCACACCCAGAUAGGGGGUCUGUGAGCUUCCAGUAUAAACCCCAGUUCCCAGUCCUACCCCUACCCUGUACCCUCAUCAAUAUUCUACUCUUUCCUGAGAGUUUCCCUCUCAGGUGGCUCUUGUAUCAACAUAACUAAUCUAGGCAAGUAGAAGACAAGGUUCGUCUCUGCUGGGGGCCGGCCUUAAGAUUCUUUUGCUAAAUUGACAUGUCUUUUUUCCCUAAAUGUUAGUAAAUUCUGAUUCCUCUUUAAAUAGUGGAGAAACAGAACAAGGAACCCCACACUCACAGAAAAUAUAAAAUGGAACUAGUGCCCCAAGGCUCACUGAGAAGCAUCUGAAAGCAGAGUUUAUCUGAAGUGCACAGAAGCCUCAAAGAGCUGACACUGAGAAUAUACCCUCUAGACUAGACUUCCAGGUCACCCACGUGGAGUUAUGGAAGUGACGGUGUUUUUGAGGUGGAAGGGGGUCCUUAAAGAGGAAGGUGAACCCACAAUCCCUCCCUACAGCAUCCAGACUAGUAGAUCUAUUCACCUCUCCCUGGGCCUUCUAAAUCCUUUCAUCUCUCUCUGGGCCUCAGUAUUUUACCAAUUCCAUCCUUUCUUCAUAUCAUAAAUACACUUAUGCCUCCUCCAACCCAGAUAUUAGCUGGGUUGUCCCCCUUGGUCAUCUCAGCUUUGAUCCUACCCAUUAUAUAGCCUUUCAAAAUCUGAAGUUCUUUCAGGAGUUUUUGCUAAUUCCUGGGGAUUUUCAAUUCUCAGGAUUUCCUGUUCUCAACUCCAAAUUCCUACCCAGCAUUAAUCCAGACAUAGGAUACAGCUCCGCCUUCAUGUUUACCCAAAAGAGUCCACUUUCACAUAAAAGCAUUAGUGAGCAAUGUAGCCUUCACAAAAAGAUGAUGAAGAGGACUGGAGAAGACCUCAUUCCUGGCAAAGAACUUUAAAAUCCCCAGCUGCUGAACUAAGCUCUGGCUUAUUUCCUUGCCUGAAAACAGACUUAGCCUGGGGCAGCCAGUCCUCUCCCACCCAAAUGAUGAGGCUUUGCCAAAACUGGCAGCUAAAAACAAGCAUGAAGGAUAGAUGCUUAGUUAACAUGGCUACUGGGAUAUUGUUGCUUUUCAGUCCUUUCAGUGAACAGAGAAAGUAAAAAUAUACAAACCUUGAGCUGAUAUUAAUAUAUCAAAUUUAAUACAGGACUUUUACUUUAAUUUUUAUGUGUAUCCGCUUUCCCUCACAAUGAGAAGUUUGGAUCUUAACAUUUUUAGUUGUUCUUUCCUAAUAUAUAAAAUUAUAUGUUUCAAGAUUAUAAUACAGGGAUCCCUGGGUGGCACAGCGGUUUGGCGCCUGCCUUUGGCCCAGGGCGCGAUCCUGGAGACCCGGGAUCGAA